CGGAACACGUACGCAACCUUCCUUUAAGUGGAGAAUAGCCCGGGGAAACCCGGAUUAAUACUCCGUAACAUUAUAAUGUGGCAUCACUUUAUAAUUAUAGAUUCAUCGCUUAGAGAUGGGCGUGCGCCUGAUUAGGUAGUUGGCGGAGUAAUAGCCCACCAAGCCUGCGAUCAGUAACUGGUGUGAGAGCACGACCAGUCACACGGGCACUGAGACACGGGCCCG
rnacentral:rRNA from 1 species